GAUCGGGAUAACACCUGGAAACAGAUGCUAAUACCGGAUAACAACAGAUGAUGCCUAUCAACUGUUUAAAAGAUGGUUCUGCUAUCACUCUUGGAUGGACCUGCGGUGCAUUAGCUAGUUGGUAGGGUAACGGCCUACCAAGGCGAUGAUGCAUAGCCGAGUUGAGAGACUGAUCGGCCACAUUGGGACUGAGACACGGCCCAAACUCCUACGGGAGGCAGCAGAC
rnacentral:rRNA from 1 species